AGAGUUUGAUCAUGGCUCAAAACGUACGCUGGCGGCACGCCUAACACAUGCAAGUCGAACGCAGUAGCAAUACUGAGUGGCAGACGGGUGAGUAACAUGUGGGAAUCUGCCUUGUGGUUCAGGACAACAUUGGGAAACCGAUGCUAAUACUGGAUAAGCCCUUACGGGGAAAGUUUUAAUGCCAUAAGAUGAGCCCGCAUUUGAUUAGUUAGUUGGUGAGGUAAUGGCUCACCAAGACAAUGAUCAAUAGCUGAUCUGAGAGGAUGAUCAGCCACACUGGGACUGAGACACGGCCCAGACUCCUACGGGAGGCAGCAGUGGGGAAUCUUGCACAAUGGAGGAAACUCUGAUGCAGCGAUGCCGCGUGAGUGAAGAAGGCCUUUGGGUUGUAAAGCUCUUUUGUAGGGGAAGAUAAUGACUGUACCCUAAGAAUAAGGUCCGGCUAACUUCGUGCCAGCAGCCGCGGUAAUACGAAGGGACCUAGCGUAGUUCGGAAUUACUGGGCGUAAAGCGCGCGUAGGCCGUUGAGUUAGUUAAUUGUGAAAUCCCAAAGCUUUACUUUGGA
rnacentral:rRNA from 1 species